rnacentral:tRNA from 1 species
UCUCGAUCAGCAGGGGCAGAAAGCUGCGGCUGACGUUGAUGGUGCCGGUCAGGAUGGUCGCGCAGACCGUGCCCCAUGAUUCGAGAUCGCAGUCGAGGACC